AUACGGAGGAUGCGAGCGUUAUCCGGAUUUAUUGGGUUUAAAGGGAGCGUAGGUGGGAUAUUAAGUCAGCUGUGAAAGUUUGGGGCUCAACCUUAACAUUGCAGUUGAUACUGGUUUCCUUGAGUACGGUAUAGGUGGGCGGACUUCGUGGUGUAGCGGUGAAAUGCUUAGAUAUCCCGAAGAACUCCGAUCGCGAAGGCAGCUCACCGGGCCGGAACUGACAAUGAUGCUCGAAAGUGUAGGUAUCAAACAGGAUUAGAUACCCUGGUAGUCCGCACAGUAAACGAUGAAUACUCUCUGUUUGCGAUACACUGUAAGCGGCCAAGCGAAAGCGUUAAGUAUUCCACCUGGGGAGUACGCCGUCAACGGUGAAACUCAAAGUAAAUGACGGGG
rnacentral:rRNA from 1 species